CAGUCGCCGCGGUAAUACGUAGGGUGCAAGCGUUAAUCGGAAUUACUGGGCGUAAAGCGUGCGCAGGCGGUUCUAUAAGACAGAUGUGAAAUCCCCGGGCUCAACCUGGGAACUGCAUUUGUGACUGUAGAGCUGGAGUGCGGCAGAGGGGGAUGGAAUUCCGCGUGUAGCAGUGAAAUGCAUAGAUAUGCGGAGGAACACCGAUGGCGAAGGCAAUCCCCUGGGCCUGCACUGACGCUCAUGCACGAAAGCGGGGGGAGCAAACAGGAUUAGAUACCCCUGUAGUCCCUGUCUCUUAUAC
rnacentral:rRNA from 1 species